AUGGCCGGUGGCGUCGACCGCCUAUCUGAUCUCCCCGACGAGCUCCUCCUGCGCGUUCUCCGCUUCGUCCCAGCCAAGCAGGCCGCCGCCACGGCCGCGCUCUCGCGGCGAUGGCGCUCGCCGCUCUGCCGCUCCUCCGGCGCCCUGAACCUCGAGACGUUCGUCGAGGGCUACGAGUACGACGACGACUACAGCUCCCGGUACGGACGAGACGAGCGCAAAGAAGCCGCCAAGGCCCUCUUCUUCUCCCGCCGCGACGUCUUCGUGUCCGCGGCCGUGGCGGCGCUCGACGCCGCCGACGUCCCCGUCACGAGGCUCGCCCUGCGCCUAGGGUACAAAUACCUCGACUCGAUCUGGAUGUUCCUGGACCUGGACCCUGACAGGGUCCACGGGUCGCCGCCGCGGGACGGCUACGUGCUCGCCAGCCUGCUCUCCCACCAGGCGGCGCGCCGCGUGGAGGAGCUCCGUCUCGUCGACGUCGAAUACGACGGCAGCCGCGGCCGCAUCCACGACCGCCAGGAGGGCGAGGUCGAUGUCGCUCUCUCCUUUGGUGGUCUGGUGGGCGUCUUCGUGCUCAGCAUCGGCGCCCUGCCGUCCGAGAACCUCCGCGUGCUGGACCUCGCCAACUGUUGCGAACUCGUCCCGCCGGCCGCUCCCGUCGUGUUCCCGCGGCUCUCGUCGCUACGGAUGCGCCAUUGCACCACGCGGCUCGACACCCUCCAGAGCCUCAUCGACGCCGCGCCGGCGCUCGCCGACGUCUGCCUGGAGUCCGUCGUCGUCGCCCAACAUGACGACCGAUGCCGGCCACCUCAAAAAGCCCAGCUCCGCUUCCCGGCGGCCACCGUGCUCGUCCUGGAGAGGUAA
rnacentral:rRNA from 1 species